rnacentral:rRNA from 1 species
GACGAACGCUGGCGGCGUGCUUAACGCAUGCAAGUCGAACGGUGAAGCGCCUUCCUUUUUGGUGGGUGUGGAUGAGUGGCGAACGGGUGAGUAACACGUGAGUAACCUGCCCCCUUCUUCUGGAUAACCGCAUGAAAGUGUGGCUAAUACGGGAUAUUCUGGGUCUGUCGCAUGAUGGGUCUGGGAAAGAUAUUGUUUCGGUGGGGGAUGGGCUCGCGGCCUAUCAGCUUGUUGGUGGGGUGAUGGCCUACCAAGGCGGUGACGGGUAGCCGGCCUGAGAGGGUGGACGGUCACACUGGGACUGAGACACGGCCCAGACUCCUACGGGAGGCAGCAGUGGGGAAUAGUGCACAAUGGGCGCAAGCCUGAUGCAGCGACGCCGCGUGAGGGAUGGAGGCCUUCGGGUUGUGAACCUCUUUCGCCAGUGAAGCAGGCCUGCCUCGUUUGUGGGUGGGUUGACGGUAGCUGGAUAAGAAGCGCCGGCUAACUACGUG